rnacentral:rRNA from 1 species
UACAGAGGGUGCAAGCGUUGUUCGGAAUUAUUGGGCGUAAAGCGCGUGUAGGCGGCUUUGCAAGUCGGGUGUGAAAUCCCUCAGCUCAACUGAGGAAGUGCGCCCGAAACUGCAGAGCUUGAAUACCGGAGAGGAUGGCGGAAUUCCCCAAGUAGAGGUGAAAAUUCGUAGAUAUGGGGGAGGAACACCGGUGGCGAAGGCGGCCAUCUGGACGGAUAUUGACGCUGAGACGCGAAAAGCGUGGGGUAGCAAAACAGG